UGAGGAAUAUUCCACAAUGGGCGAAAGCCUGAUGGAGCGACGCCGCGUGCGGGAAGAAGCCUUUCGGGGUGUAAACCGCUUUUCUCUGGGAUGACACGCUUCCGUAAGGGAGCUAGGACAGUACCAGAGGAAUAAGCAUCGGCUAACUACGUGCCAGCAGCCGCGGUAAUACGUAGGAUGCUAGCGUUGUCCGGAUUUACUGGGCGUAAAGCGCGCGCAGGCGGCACCUCAAGUACUCUCUGAAAUCCACCUGCUCAACGGGUGGGGUGGAGAGUAGACUGAGGAGCUAGAGAGAGGUAGAGGGGGGUAGAAUUGCUGGUGUAGCGGUGAAAUGCGUAGAGAUCAGCAGGAAUACCCGUGGCGAAGGCGGCCCCCUGGGCCUCUUCUGACGCCGAGGCGCGAAGGCUGGGGGAGCGAACGGGAUUAGAUACCCCGGUAGUCCCAGCAGUAAACGAUGACCACUAGGUGUGGGGGGUGUUGACCCCUUCGUGCCGAAGCCAACG
rnacentral:rRNA from 1 species